rnacentral:rRNA from 1 species
CCUACGGGAGGCUGCAGUGGGGAAUAUUGCACAAUGGGGGAAACCCUGAUGCAGCAACGCCGCGUGAAGGAAGACGGUUUUCGGAUUGUAAACUUCUAUCAAUAGGGAAGAAAGAAAUGACGGUACCUAAAUAAGAAGCCCCGGCUAACUACGUGCCAGCAGCCGCGGUAAUACGUAGGGGGCAAGCGUUAUCCGGAAUUACUGGGUGUAAAGGGAGAGUAGGCGGCAAGGUAAGCGAUAUGUGAAAGCCUUAAGCUUAACUAAAGGAUUGCAUAACGAACUAUCUAGCUAGAGUACAGGAGAGGAAAGCGGAAUUCCUGGUGUAGCGGUGAAAUGCGUAGAUAUUAGGAAGAACACCAGUGGCGAAGGCGGCUUUCUGGACUGAAACUGACGCUGAGGCUCGAAAGCGUGGGGAGCGAACAGGAUUAGAUACCCGAGUGUC